CAGUCGAACGGUAGCACAGAGAGCUUGCUCUCGGGUGACGAGUGGCGGACGGGUGAGUAAUGUCUGGGAAACUGCCUGAUGGAGGGGGAUAACUACUGGAAACGGUAGCUAAUACCGCAUAACGUCGCAAGACCAAAGAGGGGGACCUUCGGGCCUCUUGCCAUCAGAUGUGCCCAGAUGGGAUUAGCUAGUAGGUGGGGUAACGGCUCACCUAGGCGACGAUCCCUAGCUGGUCUGAGAGGAUGACCAGCCACACUGGAACUGAGACACGGUCCAGACUCCUACGGGAGGCAGCAGUGGGGAAUAUUGCACAAUGGGCGCAAGCCUGAUGCAGCCAUGCCGCGUGUAUGAAGAAGGCCUUCGGGUUGUAAAGUACUUUCAGCGGGGAGGAAGGUGUUGUGGUUAAUAACCCCAGCAAUUGACGUUACCCGCAGAAGAAGCACCGGCUAACUCCGUGCCAGCAGCCGCGGUAAUACGGAGGGUGCAAGCGUUAAUCGGAAUUACUGGGCGUAAAGCGCACGCAGGCGGUCUGUCAAGUCGGAUGUGAAAUCCCCGGGCUCAACCUGGGAACUGCAUUCGAAACUGGCAGGCUGGAGUCU
rnacentral:rRNA from 1 species